rnacentral:misc_RNA from 1 species
AAAUACUAAAAAGAUUAAAGUACAAAGUACUAAAAUGUACUUUCCUUCAUACGAUAUAGUUAUCUCGAAACUCAAAAUUAGGCAGCCCAUUUAGGAGUUGUAAAAAUUUUGAAGAAGUAUGGUGGGAUUAGAUGGGCUGGAUAAUAAAAAAUAGAGAAACUAGACCCAAGUCCAUGUAAGACAAUAUCCUAACUCGGUACCUCUCAUUUAUGUUCCUUGCCUUUUGGCAGUUGUUGGUGAGAAAUUGAUGGGCAACGAGGAUUCUACAUUUACCAGUAGUAUUUGAUGUUGAGGCCUCACAUGGUAUGGUAGGUCGCUGUGGCUACUGGUCCACGAGGAUAGUUGCUCCUGCAGUUACAUAUGACAAUGAGCUUCGAUUCGUCUCUCAUCUCAUGUUAAAUGCAAAACCUUACAAAUCAUUUUCCUUUUGUCCCUUGCUUGCAGGGCACUACUUAAAUACGAUGGAAUACCUGAAAAUCCAAGGAUUUAUUUGUUUGCAACUUGCAGCGUCGCAGUAAUUGCCAGCACCUCUUAUUGCCUAUAGGCCUGAAAUAAGGAUUCUUCGUAUCAUCCAUCUUCAUGAAAAGCUAGUUGGUCCUCAUUUCACACAAGGACGGACCCACUUAAUUUCAAGACGAGUGAUCUGCGUAACAAGCCCUCCGAAAUCUUUCAAAAUCACUAUCUGCUGAAUGAUUCAACUGUCCAAGUAUCACUUUUUCAAUUUUUAGGACAAUUAUGUAAUCGUGUCUUACACUUUUUAUUUUUUGAAUAGGUUAGAACAUACGCACAGGAGACAGGGAAGACAGACACCCUGACAAAAACAAAGCUUUGAUGCAAGCUCCUUAGUUAUUUAGAUUUUUGCCAAUACUCAUUUUCCCACAUCUCCACUUGCCUAAUUGAUGUAUCUUUUCUAUUCAAAAAUUCUGCAAGAGCAGAAGGAUCAUAUGGAGGAGGCAUUGUGCAUGGAUUCGUAUCGCUAGGAUACACCACCAUAGACUCCCUCAUGAACUUCCCAUGGACACCAUUUACUGCACACGCCAUUGAUUCUGAACAUAGCUCCACAGCACCUG